rfam:Stegodyphus mimosarum contig2608, whole genome shotgun sequence.
ACCUUCGUGGUGUAGUGGUCAGUACGCUGGGCGCGCAUUCUAGAAGGCCGUGGUUCGAGUCCCGACGAAGGUU